ensembl:lncRNA
AUGCUGCUCAUUACCCUCCCCUUCUGUUUUCCUGCGAGUUUUUUUUCCUCAGAAUCUGGGUCAUUUGUCUCCCAGAGUUUCUCACAGGCUGGACUUUGUGGCUUGCAUAUUCAUGGUGGUGUACAUGGUCUUCCAUCCUCGUGUUUUCUACAAUAUAAACCAAGAGUCGAUGUGACACUGGGAUUAUUCCAGAGUCUCUCUUACUGGUGUCUCGGUGCUCCCGUAUGGAGCAUUCCUGAGGGCCAUUUAUGCCACCCCACCCCUCCAUCAGCCCCCCAGCCCCCACCCCCCUCCACUCCUCAUCCUUCCCUCAGCCCCCUCCACCCCCACCCCUCACCCUCCACCCCCCACCCCUCACCCCCCUCCACCCCCCACCUCCCGGGCAUCAUGCCAGCUCCCUCCUCCCAUCUGUCCUCCUCCUUCCCAGGACACCCCCACCACAGGGUCACUGUGGGCUUUGUGCUCCAGGGUCCUUGCUUCUCCACUAGGGUGGGGGCUCUGUGCAGGGCAGAGCCAACCCUGCUCCCUGUACCCCCAAGACACAGUCCUUCACACCACAAGCACUGGCACUGGGCACUGAGCACUGAGCAUGAGCACCAGGCACCAAGCAAUAAGCACAAGCACCGAGUACCAAGCACGAGCACUAGCACUGAGCACGAGCACCGGUGGGGGUGUGUGUGCAAUCCGCUGGGGUCUUGCUCACAACCCUCUCUCCCCAGCUUGGGGGCCAGGGCUGUGGGAAGCUUAUCCCCCACCCUCCCAAGGGGGACUAAGGUCUCAGAGAAGACCUCCCAGCCGAGGCUGCCUCAGCACCCAGGACACCUAUCUGCAGACAGCCUCAGCACCCAGGACACCUAUCUGCAGACACGGCUGCCCAAGGCCUUUUCAGGUCACUGUCAGAGGGGACAUAGGAGAAGUGACAGAAUGCCUUGGAGCCAUUCAGAUGUAAGAGCACAACAGGAAACUCUCCACCGUGAGGAACUAAAGUUAACGGUGAAACCAAAGCCAAGAGUCUUUGUAAAGAUGACAUUGCAGACCUCAUAG